rnacentral:lncRNA from 1 species
CAAACCAACGCUGUCUGCAGUAAAAUAGAUAUGCUUUGUCAUACACUCUCUUCUCCUCAUACUCUGUCCUCAAGUGGACCGAGCUAUGAAGUCCAAAUUAACAUACAAGUGACAGAAAAACCUUUAGGCCAGGAUUCACUUCUACAUCUUUCCAGGAUUGAAGACCAGAGGUUUGAAAUUGCUCAGGCACACAUCAUCUCAACUCUAGCAUUGUGCUGAUGGGAUGGAAGGAUGUUCUACACAUCUUUCCUCUUCAUCUAGCCCUAUGAUGUCAGUCAGUGAAAUGAGAAAAAAUUACAUUACAUCACUUGCAAGUGAAAUAUGAAGAGAGGUGAAUGCAGCAGCAAAGGAUUCUGAAUGCAUCCUGUGCCUUACUGAGAGAUCCCUGGCCUAUAUAAAACCAUAGAAAAGUCUGGGUUGGAAGGGAUCUUUAAAGGACAUUUAGUCCAACCCCCUGGAAGGAGCAGGGUCAUCUUGAACUAGAUCAGGUCACUCAGAGCCCCAUCUAGCCUAGCCUUGAAUAUUUCCACGGACACGGCAUCUGCCACCUCUCUUUGAAUAGUCAAAGGCACAGACACUAUGGCAGGAGUAGAAAAACAGACCAGGCAUAAAGGGAUCCUUCUCUAAAUGUACCCUUCCAACUUCUCACAAUGUACAGCUCAGGGAAUUUCUGAUCCAGAUCUCAUAGCUGUGUGUUUCUGCUGAUGAACAUUUUCCUCAUGUUAAUUUGACUUCUUGCUUUCUGAACAAAAUGAUGCCAUGGAACCCUGCAGUAACAAGCUCAAUGGGUUAAUUAUACAUUUUGAACAAUGAUCAGGGCAUGAAAGUUUCUGGAAUCAAAGACCAUGAUUAAAGAAGAGGUAAAGAAAGAUGCAUUUUUUUCUUGAAAAUGUGUCAUAAUAUAUAUCAGUGUAAUUAAUUGAUUACAUUUUAUUCACACAGGUAGGCCUUUACUGCCUAAUAGAAACCAUAACACAACUAAAUGUUAUACAGACAGUACAAUUUUCAAAUUUCUCAAAAAGACUCAUGCUUUCAUAUUUUAUUUUGCAAAACUCCAUAAAGCUAAUUUUCCAUCUUCCAAAAAAUGCAAUUUCAUUUGAAGCAUGACAGUAUGGGAGAUCUUCCUAUGAAAUAGCCAGCAAAUGUUUUUGUUAAACUUCCUGCAAGACAAGAAAACACAAAUUAGGUUUGUAACUGUUCAUCAGUUAGAUUUUGAAUCUGCAAAAUACAAAAUAGCUAUUUGAAAUUCCGCCUUUAUAUUUCCUGCACAGAGUGCUUUUGUCUUUGACCUAUUUAAAAUAAAAAUUUCCCCUAUAAGCUGUAAAACA